AAAGGCAAGGGAAUGAUAAAAGAAUGAUUAAACAAAGGGAAAAGAAAUAAUAUAAAAGUGAAGUAAAAAAAAUUAAUAUAGGGUAAGGGUAGAAUAGGAAAGAGAAAGAAUAUAAAAAAAUUAAUUAAAAAGUAUUAAAAAGCAAAAGGGAGUGGGAAAAUCAGCUAUAUAUAUACACACACACACACGACCUCUUCUAUUGAGGGAUCUCUCAAAUAAUUUUAUUUGAGGGACACCUUUUAGGGUUU
rnacentral:lncRNA from 1 species